GAACGCUGGCGGCGUGCCUAAUACAUGCAAGUCGAGCGAACGGACGAGAAGCUUGCUUCUCUGAUGUUAGCGGCGGACGGGUGAGUAACACGUGGAUAACCUACCUAUAAGACUGGGAUAACUUCGGGAAACCGGAGCUAAUACCGGAUAAUAUUUUGAACCGCAUGGUUCAAAAGUGAAAGACGGUCUUGCUGUCACUUCUAGAUGGAUCCGCGCUGCAUUAGCUAGUUGGUAAGGUAACGGCUUACCAAGGCAACGAUGCAUAGCCGACCUGAGAGGGUGAUCGGCCACACUGGAACUGAGACACGGUCCAGACUCCUACGGGAGGCAGCAGUAGGGAAUCUUCCGCAAUGGGCGAAAGCCUGACGGAGCAACGCCGCGUGAGUGAUGAAGGUCUUCGGAUCGUAAAACUCUGUUAUUAGGGAAGAACAUAUGUGUAAGUAACUGUGCACAUCUUGACGGUACCUAAUCAGAAAGCCACGGCUAACUACGUG
rnacentral:rRNA from 1 species